ACGAACGCUGGCGGCACGCUUAACACAUGCAAGUCGAACGAGAGAAGAGGAGCUUGCUUUUCUGAUCUAGUGGCGGACGGGUGAGUAACACGUGAGCAAUCUGCCUUUCAGAGGGGGAUACCGAUUGGAAACGAUCGUUAAUACCGCAUAACAUAAUUGAACCGCAUGAUUUGAUUAUCAAAGAUUUAUCGCUGAAAGAUGAGCUCGCGUCUGAUUAGCUAGUUGGUAAGGUAACGGCUUACCAAGGCGACGAUCAGUAGCCGGACUGAGAGGUUGAUCGGCCACAUUGGGACUGAGACACGGCCCAGACUCCUACGGGAGGCAGCAGUGGGGAAUAUUGCACAAUGGAGGAAACUCUGAUGCAGCGAUGCCGCGUGAGGGAAGAAGGUUUUAGGAUUGUAAACCUCUGUCUUCAGGGACGAAAAAUGACGGUACCUGAGGAGGAAGCUCCGGCUAACUACGUGCCAGCAGCCGCGGUAAUACGUAGGGAGCGAGCGUUGUCCGGAAUUACUGGGUGUAAAGGGAGCGUAGGCGGGAUCGCAAGUCAGAUGUGAAAACUAUGGGCUUAACCCAUAAACUGCAUUUGAAACUGUGGUUCUUGAGUGAAGUAGAGGUAAGCGGAAUUCCUAGUGUAGCGGUGAAAUGCGUAGAUAUUAGGAGGAACAUCAGUGGCGAAGGCGGCUUACUGGGCUUUAACUGACGCUGAGGCUCGAAAGCGUGGGGAGCAAACAGGAUUAGAUACCCUGGUAGUCCACGCCGUAAACGAUGAUUACUAGGUGUGGGGGGACUGACCCCUUCCGUGCCGCAGCAAACGCAAUAAGUAAUCCACCUGGGGAGUACGACCGCAAGGUUGAAACUCAAAGGAAUUGACGGGGGCCCGCACAAGCAGUGGAGUAUGUGGAUUAAUUCGAAGCAACGCGAAGAACCUUACCAGGUCUUGACAUCGUAUGCAUAGCUCAGAGAUGAGUUAAAUCUCUUCGGAGACAUAUAGACAGGUGGUGCAUGGUUGUCGUCAGCUCGUGUCGUGAGAUGUUGGGUUAAGUCCCGCAACGAGCGCAACCCUUACUGUUAGUUGCUACGCAAGAGCACUCUAGCAGGACUGCCGUUGACAAAACGGAGGAAGGUGGGGAUGACGUCAAAUCAUCAUGCCCCUUAUGACCUGGGCCUCACACGUACUACAAUGGCUGUCAACAGAGGGAAGCAAAGCCGCGAGGUGGAGCAAACCCCUAAAAGCAGUCUUAGUUCGGAUUGUAGGCUGCAACCCGCCUACAUGAAGUCGGAAUUGCUAGUAAUCGCAGAUCAGCAUGCUGCGGUGAAUACGUUCCCGGGCCUUGUACACACCGCCCGUCACGCCAUGGGAGUCGGUAACACCCGAAGCCUGUAGUCUGACCGCAAGGAGGACGCAGUCGAAGGUGGGAUUGAUGACUGGGGUG
rnacentral:rRNA from 1 species